rnacentral:rRNA from 1 species
CCUGGCGGCCAUAGCGCGGUGGACCCACCUGAACCCAUGCCGAACUCAGAAGUGAAACGCCGUAGCGCCGAUGGUAGUGUGUAAAGGAUGGGUAUCAGGA